AACGACACUGUGAUUGUCCUUAUCCCCAAAGGUAAUGCACCCGAAAGCUUGAAAGACUUCCGCCCGAUAAGUUUAUGCAACGUCAUAUAUAAAGUGAUCUCUAAAUGCCUUGUUAACCGCCUUCGGCCUUUUCUCGAUGAGUUGGUGUCUGAAGCACAGAGUGCGUUUAUACCUGGGAGACUCAUCACAGAUAAUGCAUACAUUGCCUUUGAGUGCUUUCACAAGAUCCAACAUACAAAAAAUGCAACCGACAACCACUGUGCCUAUAAGCUUGAUUUGUCGAAAGCAUAUGAUCGUGUGGAGUGGAACUUUUUGGAAGGAGCUUUGACUAGAUUUGGCUUUUGUCAGAAGUGGAAAAAAUGGGUUAUGACCUGUGUUCGAUCCGUGAGAUACGCUGUGAAGCUUAAUGGAGAAAUUUUGGAAUCCUUCCAACCGACAAGGGGUCUUCGUCAGGGUGAUCCGCUAAGCCCGUAUCUCUUCUUGUUUGUGGCUGAAGGUCUAUCUCGUGCUUUGGAGGCCGAGUGUGUUGUUGGAAAGAUCACUCCCUUAAAAGUGGCAAGGGGGAGCCCAGGUAUCUCACAUCUUCUCUUUGCAGAUGAUAGCCUUUUAUUCUUCAAGGCUGAUAGUGAAGAAGCAAGGAAUGUCAAGAUCGCCCUUAAAAAAUUCCAGCGAGGAACGGGCCAACUGUUAAGCCCAAGUAAAUGUUCCAUGUUGUUUAGUACUGCUUGCCCUGCUCUUACCCAAGAGGAUGUUAAGCUAAUUCUGGAAGUCGACUCUGCUACUUUUGAUGAAAAGUAUUUAGGCUUGCCUACACCUGAAGGGCGCAUGAAGAUAUCUCAAUUUCAGCCCAUUCUUGAACGAUUCACGAAGAGACUCACUAAUUGGCUUGAACGAUUCAUGUCCCAUGGUUCUAAAGACAUAGUGAUAAAGUCUGUGAUUCAAUCUCUGCCAUCCUAUACCAUGAGUAUGUUUAAAAUGAGUGUAGCUUUUUGCGAGCAAUAUGAGAAACUGAUCCGGGACUUUUGGUGGGGAGAUGAGGAAAAUCAGAGAAAGGUCCACUGGAUGUCAUGGGAGAAAAUGACACAGCCAAAGAGUCAAGGUGGUCUGGGUCUCCGUGAUAUGCAGGUGUUUAACCAGGCCCUCCUUGCUAAGCAAGCGUGGCGUUUAAUCCAGCGGCCAGAUAGCUUGUGUGCUAGGCUAUUGAAAUCAAAAUAUUUUCCGAAAGGAAAUUUGUUAGACACGGUUUUUGCGUCUGAUGCAUCACCUGUGUGGAGAGGGAUAGAGUUCGGACUUGAACUAUUAAAGAAAGGUGUUGUGUGGAGAGUUGGGGAUGAAAAAAGCAUCCAAUUUCUCAGAGAUAAUUGGAUCCCAAGGCAAUCAGGACUCAUGGUUAAAUCACUCAAAAGUCGCAGCCGUUUCAGAUGGGUUAGUCAAUUAAUUUUGCCGCAAACAAGAGAAUGGAAUAUUCCCCUUAUUGAACAGCUAUUCCAUAGCUUUGACGCUGAGGAAAUCUGCAAGAUAAAUCUCCCAGUCAACGAAACAAUGGAUCACCUUGCGUGGAACUAUGAGAAAAAUGGUAUGUUCACGGUAAGGAGUGCCUAUAAGUUGGGAAUGUUUUUGAAGCAGCAGGAAACAACAGCCGGAUCAUCAAGUAAUGCAAGCACUGGAAGGGAAAAUCUUUGGAAUUUGAUCUGGAAAGCGCAUGUCCCUCACAAAAUCCGUAUUGUGGCCUGGAGAAUCGCCACUGACUCACUCCCCACAAAAGAGAACAAAAGGAAGAGAACACUUGAAGUUAAUAGCACAUGUAAUAUAUGUGGCAGAGAGACGGAGGAUGCCCAACACGCUGUUCUGAAAUGUACCAAAGCUACAGCUCUCCGGGAGGAAAUGAGAGAGCACUGGACCUUACCAAGUGAAACUCUGCUUGUUACUCGGGACCCGGACUGGCUACUUCAUGCUCUCAGUCUUUGUUCUGGAGACAUGCGAGAAAAGCUGCUCUUGGUUUUAUGGCGUUCCUGGCAUCUUAGGGACGACAUUGUGCAUGACAAAGGAAAAGCAAAGGUGUCUGACUCAGUCCUAUUCCUGAAGAAUUAUUGGAAAACUCUGAAUUCAAACAGUCAAAGUAGAGGUGAUGUGAAAGGGAAAAAACCUCUGUACGAUGUACAAAUGCAAUCGCCCACUGCUCAGGAAUUGAAGCCGACCAUCCGCUGGUCCAGACCACAAGGUGAUUGCAUUAAGCUUAACAUUGAUGCUUCCUUUAUUUCAGCUUUGAAUGCAGCAUGGGCAGGGGCAGUCGCCAGGGACAGCACCGGAGCAGUUGUCUUCUCUGUAGGCCGUCAGCUUCAUUCUUGUGCUGAUGCAGAGGAAGCUGAAGCUAAUGCACUGCUGAUUGGUCUUAUGUGUUUAAGGGAUUUAAACAAGGAACGUGUGCAGGUGGAAUCAGACUGUGCCGGAGUUGUCGCGGCUGUAAAUGCAAAAGAAAGGAACAAUGCAAAGUGGUGGACUACUUAUGAGGAAGCAAAGCUGUGUAUGCGUGAAUUCAGUUUGUGCAAGGUUAGUAAAGUUAGAAGAGAGUGCAACGUGGCCGCACAUGAGUUGGCAGCCCAUGCUAGAAUGCAUGGAGAUUUU
rnacentral:rRNA from 1 species